rnacentral:rRNA from 1 species
CCUACGGGAGGCAGCAGUAGGGAAUAUUGCUCAAUGGGGGAAACCCUGAAGCAGCAACGCCGCGUGGAGGAUGAAGGUUUUCGGAUUGUAAACUCCUUUUGUUAGAGAAGAUAAUGACGGUAUCUAACGAAUAAGCACCGGCUAACUCCGUGCCAGCAGCCGCGGUAAUACGGAGGGUGCAAGCGUUACUCGGAAUCACUGGGCGUAAAGAGCGCGUAGGCGGGAUAGCAAGUCAGAUGUGAAAUACUAUGGCUUAACCAUAAAACUGCAUUUGAAACUGUUAUUCUAGAGUAUGGGAGAGGUAGGUGGAAUUCUUGGUGUAGGGGUAAAAUGCGUAGAGAUCAAGAGGAAUACUCAUUGCGAAGGCGACCUGCUAGAACAUAACUGACGCUGAUGCGCGAAAGCGUGGGGAGCAAACAGGAUUAGAUACCCUAGUAGUC